rnacentral:rRNA from 1 species
UACGUAGGGGGCAAGCGUUGUCCGGAAUCAUUGGGCGUAAAGCGCGCGUAGGCGGCCCGGUAAGUCCGUUGUGAAAGUCAAAGGCUCAACCUUUGAACGCCGAUGGAUACUGCCGGGCUAGAGUCCGGAAGAGGCGAGUGGAAUUCCUGGUGUAGCGGUGAAAUGCGCAGAUAUCAGGAGGAACACCAAUUGCGAAGGCAGCUCGCUGGGACGUUACUGACGCUGAGACGCGAAAGCGUGGGGAGCAAACAGG